UACAGAGGGGGCAAGCGUUGUUCGGAAUUAUUGGGCGUAAAGAGCUCGUAGGCGGUCUGUCGCGUCUGCUGUGAAAACUCAGGGCUUAACCCUGAGCUUGCAGUGGGUACGGGCAGACUAGAGUGCGGUAGGGGAGACUGGAAUUCCUGGUGUAGCGGUGAAAUGCGCAGAUAUCAGGAGGAACACCGGUGGCGAAGGCAGGUCACUGGGCCGCAACUGACGCUGAGGAGCGAAAGCAUGGGGAGCGAACAGG
rnacentral:rRNA from 1 species